GCAAGUCGAGCGGCAGCACUUCGGGUGGCAAGCGGCGAACGGGUGAGUAGUAGUUAGCAACUUGCCCUCCAGACGGGAAUAGCCACCGUAAUGGUGAUUAAUGCCCGAUAUGAGGAAACCUUGAAAGGUGCGUUUGUACCACUGGAGGAAUAGGGCUAACCCCUAUUAGCUUGUUGGUAGAGUAAUAGCCUACCAAGGCGAUGAUAGGUAGCCGGCCUGAGAGGGUGAUC
rnacentral:rRNA from 1 species